GACGAACGCUGGCGGCGUGCUUAACACAUGCAAGUCGAACGGAAAGGCCCCUUUGGGGGUACUCGAGUGGCGAACGGGUGAGUAACACGUGAGUAACCUGCCCUUGACUUCGGGAUAACUUCAGGAAACUGGGGCUAAUACCGGAUAGGAAUCCUUGCUGCAUGGUGGGGGUUGGAAAGCUUCGGCGGUUUUGGAUGGACUCGCGGCUUAUCAGCUUGUUGGUGGGGUAGUGGCUUACCAAGGCUUUGACGGGUAGCCGGCCUGAGAGGGCGACCGGCCACAUUGGGCCUGAGAUACGGCCCGGAUUCCUACGGGAGGCAGCGGUGGGAAUUAUUGCACAAUGGGCGGAGGCCUGAUGCAGCAACGCCGCGUGCGGGAGGACGGCCUUCGGGUUGUAAACGGCUUUCGGCGGGGGCGAGGCUUUUGGUAACGGUCCCUGCGGAAGAGGCACCGGCUACUACGUG
rnacentral:rRNA from 1 species